rnacentral:rRNA from 1 species
UAUUAAAGUUGUUGCAGUUAAAAAGCUCGUAGUUGAAUUUCGGGGUUAGUAGGUUGGUCAUGCCUCUGGUAUGUACUGGUCUCACUGAUUCCUCCUUCCUGAUGAGCCGUAAUGCCAUUAAUUUGGUGUUGCGGGGAAUUUGGACUGUUACUUUGAAAAAAUUAGAGUGUUUAAAGCAAGCUAACGCUUGAAUACAUUAGCAUGGAAUAAUGAAAUAGGACGUUCGAUCCUAUUUUGUUGGUUUCUAGGAUUGACGUAAUGAUUAAUAGGGAUAGUUGGGGGCAUUAGUAUUCAAUUGUCAGAGGUGAAAUUCUUGGAUUUAUUGAAGACUAACUACUGCGAAAGCAUUUGCCAAGGAUGUUUUCAUUAAUCAAGAACGAAAGUUAGGGGAUCGAAGACGAUCAGAUACCGUCGUAGUCUUAACCAUAAACUAUGCCGACUAGGGAUCGGAUGAUGUUAAUUUUUUAAUGACUCAUUCGG